rnacentral:rRNA from 1 species
AUAUCAAUAAGCGGAGGAAAAGAAACCAACCGGGAUUGCCCUCAGUAACGGCGAAGUGAAGCGGCAAGAGCUCAAAUUUGAAAGCUGGCUCCUUCGGGGUCCGCAUUGUAAUUUGCAGAGGAUGCUUCGGGUACAGCCCCCAUCUAAGUGCCCUGGAACGGGCCGUCAUAGAGGGUGAGAAUCCCGUAUGGGAUGGGGUGUCUGUGUCCGUGUGAAGCUCCUUCGACGAGUCGAGUUGUUUGGGAAUGCAGCUCUAAAUGGGUGGUAAAUUUCAUCUAAAGCUAAAUAUUGGCCGGAGACCGAUAGCGCACAAGUAGAGUGAUCGAAAGAUGAAAAGCACUUUGAAAAGAGAGUUAAAAAGCACGUGAAAUUGUUGAAAGGGAAGCGCUUGCGACCAGACUCGCCCGCGGGGUUCAGCUGGCCUUCGGGCCGGUGUACUUCCCCGUGGGCGGGCCAGCGUCGGUUUGGACGGCCGGUCAAAGGCCCCCGGAAUGUAGCGCCUCUCGGGGCGCCUUAUAGCCGGGGGUGUAAUGCGGCCUGUCUGGACCGAGGAACGCGCUUCGGCACGGACGCUGGCAUAAUGGUCGUAAGCGACCCGUCUUGAAACACGGACCAAGGAGUCUAACAUCUACGCGAGUGUUCGGGUGUCAAACCCGUGCGCGAAGUGAAAGCGAACGGAGGUGGGAGCCCCCUCGCGGGGCGCACCAUCGACCGAUCCUGAUGUCUUCGGAUGGAUUUGAGUAAGAGCGUAGCUGUGGGGACCCGAAAGAUGGUGAACUAUGCCUGAAUAGGGCGAAGCCAGAGGAAACUCUGGUGGAGGCUCGCAGCGGUUCUGACGUNAAAAUNCGAUCGA